rnacentral:rRNA from 1 species
AUUGAACGCUGGCGGCAGGCCUAACACAUGCAAGUCGAGCGAGCGGCGGACGGGUGAGGAAUGUAUGGGGACUGCCAGAUGGAGGGGGAUAAAUACUGGCAACGGUGGCAAAUACCGCAUACUAUCGAAUAACCCAGAUGGGAUUAGCUAGUAGGUGGGGUAAAGGCUCAACUAGGCGAAGAUCUCUAGCUGGUAUGAGAGGCUGAGCAGCCACGCUGUGAGUGAACCACGGCCCAGACGCCGACGGAGGCAGCAGUGGGGAUGAUUGCAUGAUGGGCGCAAGCCUGAUGCAGCCAUGCCGCGUGUAUGAAGAAGGCCUUAGGGUUGGAAAGUACUUGCAGCGGUGAGGCGUUACCCGCAGAAGAUGCACCGGCGAACUCCGUGCCAGCAGCCGCGGUAAUUC